rnacentral:rRNA from 1 species
UAAUACGUAGGGUGCAAGCGUUAAUCGGAAUUACUGGGCGUAAAGCGUGCGCAGGCGGUUUUGUAAGUCUGACGUGAAAUCCCCGGGCUCAACCUGGGAAUUGCGUUGGAGACUGCAAGGCUGGAGUCUGGCAGAGGGGGGUAGAAUUCCACGUGUAGCAGUGAAGUGCGUAGAGAUGUGGAGGAACACCGAUGGCGAAGGCAGCCCCCUGGGUCAAGACUGACGCUCAUGCACGAAAGCGUGGGAGCAAACAGGAUUAGAUACCCUGGUAGUCCACGCCCUAAACGAUGUCUACUAGUUGUCGGGUUUUAAUUAACUUGGUAACGCAGCUAACGCGUGAAGUAGACCGCCUGGGGAGUACGGUCGCAAGAUUAAAACUCAAAGGAAUUGACGGGGACCCGCACAAGCGGUGGAUGAUGUGGAUUAAUUCGAUGCAACGCGAAAAACCUUACCUACCCUUGACAUGUCAGGAAUCCUCGAGAGAUCGGGGAGUGCCCGAAAGGGAACCUGAACACAGGU